rnacentral:rRNA from 1 species
ACGGGAGGCAGCAGUGGGGAAUAUUGCACAAUGGGCGCAAGCCUGAUGCAGCGAUGCCGCGUGAGGGAAGAAGGUUUUCGGAUUGUAAACCUCUGUCAUCGGGGACGAUAAUGACUGUACCCGAGAAGGAAGCUCCGGCUAACUACGAGACAGCAGCCGCGGUAGUACGUAGGGAGCGAGCGUUAUCCGGAAUUACUGGGUGUAAAGGGAGUGUAGGCGGGUCUGUAAGUCAGAUGCGAAAUAUGCCGGCUCAACUGGCAGACUGCAUUUGGAACUGCGGUUCUUGAGUGAAGUAGAGGUAAGCGGAAUUCCUAGUGUAGCGGUGAAAUGCGUAGAUAUUAGGAGGAACAUCAGUGGCGAAGGCGGCUUACUGGGCUGUAACUGACGCUGAGGCACGAAAGCGUGGGGAUCAAACAGGAUUAGAUACCCUGGUA